AAAUCAAACCCUCUGACUCGCCAAGUUGUGCUUUUAUAUUCAACACACAAGACAUCAAAUAAAUCAAUAGAGGACAAGUUUCACAGACAUUUGCGUUUAACUGCUUAAUUCCAAUAAAGCUUUUCUAUUAGGGUAGGGAUUCCUAAAGACGAGUUUAUAAAACAAGUUUACUCUCUCCAAGUAAGAAUUUCUUACGUUCUCGGAGGAACAAGAACUGAAAUGUUCCUGGAGAAAGAAGUCACUGAAUGGGGCUGGUUCUGCUGAGAGCCACACACCCAGUCCAUGCUAGAGAGAUGGCUCAGAGAUUAAGAGCACUGGCUGCUCUUCCAGAGGUCCUGAGUUCAAUUCCCAGCAACCACAUGGUGGCUCAUAACCAUCUAUAAUAGAUAUGAUGCCCUCUUCUGGCCUGCAGACAUAUGUGCAGCCAGAACACUAUAUUCCAAUAUAAAUCUUAAAAUCUCUGUCUCUCCCUCCCUUGUUCUUCAAUGCCUCCCCCUUCCCAUCUAUUCCCUUCAUUUACUUUUCAGUGCUAGGGAUGGAACCAAGUGCCCCAUGUGUGCUGGGCAAGCUCUCUGUCCUGAGCUGUAUCUCAGCUCCUAUAUUGGAAAGUUUACACAGCUCUUGAGAAAACAUACUCUAACUCAAAGUAGAAGACCUAGUGAUAACAUUUAGGUAUUGUAAUAGAUUCAAGGACUAUGUAGAUGAAAGCAAUGAUCUCUGGUUAAUCUUCCAAACUCAAAUUCCAACUGCAUGUAACUAUAUGUGCAUGUAACUAUAUAUAUAUUACUGAGUAAAUUUGCUAGAGGGAAAAUUGAGGUUCAUACUUCGAAGAUUCAAAUUUUAAUGAAUUAUCAGCAUGAAGGAUCCCAGAAACCAUCUUUGGGAAUCCUGGAGACAAAACAUUCUUCCACCCUGGUGUGCAGUAACAGAAUGUCAAGAAUGUGAAGCAUAGAGAAGUGAAACAGAAUUUUUUUGUUGAAAAUAGACAUUUUCCUUCACAUAAUCUAUCUUGAUUAUAGUUUCCCGUCCCUCUACUCCCUCAAGUUACCGCCUACCUCCCCCUCUCAUCUGAAUUCACUCCUUUCUGUCUUUCAUUAGAAAACAGUUUUCUAAUGGAUAACAAUAAAACAAUAUAGUAAGAAAAUAAAAACUGACGUGUUGGAAUUGGACAAAAUAAACAGAAGAAAAGAGAGGCCAAGAGAAAGCAUGAAAAACAGAGGCCCUCUUGUUCCCACACUCACGAAUUUCAUAAAAACACCAAACUGGAAUUCAUAAUACAUACACAGAGGAUCUGGUGCAGAUGGUGCACACCCUGUACAGGCUGUUUCAGUCUCUGAGUUCAUGUGAGCUUUAAUCAUGAAAACUAGAGAAUCUUUAGAGCAAAUCAUUGCUCUCUAGAUCUUCUUUUGAGAUUUCAGGAGAACAGACAAUACUGUGAGAACAGAGACAAAAAAGUAUUUGCUGGAAAUGGGGUUGGGCUAGAUCUGGACAUUCGAUAGAAAUGACACAAGCCACUCUUCCUUUUACAAACAAUCUACUCCAUUAUAUGCUUUAUUGUCUACAUUUAUUGCCUCCACCUCCCAAGUCAACUGUUUACCUUUUUUAAUUUAACAAUUACAUAUUGCAGCAGACAUGAAAGUACUAAGCUAGUAGGAAAGUUGCCAGCCAUAAAUGCUCUAGUGUUCUUAACUUUGAGAUGCUGAUUCUGAGUGAAGUUGAAAUUCCUAUUCAAAUAUUUUUUAGAAGCUCUUAGCUGCUCAGAUCCUUGACAUGGUCUGAUGAUUGAUUGAUUGGUUGACUACUGACUGAGGAAUGGCCGAACCCAAGAUGUCUUAUACUGGAGACUCUACUAUUUCUGCCUCCAGAGAACUGGGACUACAGAGAUGUCAAUAUCCAUGUCUAAGAGUUUAUUCCUUUUGUUAUAUGUGUAACUGUUUGUGUUCAUGUAUGUCCUGCAUCACACAUCAUCAUACCCAAUAAGCCUAGAAGACAGCAUCAGAUUUCCUGGAACAGACUCUUUUGAACAUCCAUGUUAUACUGGGAACCAAACCUAGAUCCUUUUGAAAAACGUCAAAUACUGUUAGCUCGAAUGUAUUUGCCCCCUAGAAACUCAUAGGGAGUGGCACUAUUAGGAGCUGUGGCCUGAUGGGGGAAAUGCCUUGCUGAAGGAAGCUGGAUGACACACACCUCUAAUCCAGACCUUGAGUCUGGAGGGUACACCUUUAAUCUUUUUCUGUUGGAAGUGUGUCACUAUGGGGGUGGGUUGUGAAGCAUUUUUUCUGAAACUUCACUCGAUGUUGACAGUCAUUCAUCUGACUUCCUAUUGCCUGAAAGAUGUAGGACACUCGGUAUUUCUCCAGCACCAUGACUGCCCGUACGCCACCAUGCCUCUGUGGUUAUGAUGAACUGUAUGCCGUCAUGCCUCUGGUUAUGGUGAACUGAAGCACUGCACAGCAAGCAAACCCCUCAAUUAAAUAUUUUCUUUAUAAGAGUUGCCAUGGUCAUGGUGUCUUUUAGCAGCAAUUGUAAACUGUAAUUAAGACAUACUCCUAAACCACCGAGCCAUCUUCUCCAGCCCUAGAAUGACUUAUUGUUAUUUACUUCCCGCUUGUUUGCUUAGUGUCCCAACCUCCAUACCCCUUUCACGAUGUCUGCCCAGAAACACCAGCCAAUAACUCCCCAGGUCUACUGGGGCUGUGCUUUGAAGAAAGGCAAACUCAUCUCUAUUUAUAUCAUAAGGUCUAUCACAUUUGGGAAACAACUCCUUCCUACAAAGCUUCAAGUUCCAAGCAAAGAAGCAUCAACCCUUCACCACAGCCGACAGGUUAAAUCACUAUAUUGAAAGUACCUUUUGUUGCUGCUAUUUUCUUUCGUUUCCAUAGAUGGGACUCUAGAAAGAGAAAGAAUCCCAUAACUGGGUUUUAACUUAGACAAGUUGGAGUUCUCCACCAUCUCUUUAAGACCAAGCACAGGUGUGUUUAGUAGCAAUGAUGGUGGACUGCAGGAAAAAGCAGGAAAGAAACUAUUGAUUUCAAGUCAUGUUGCUACUUCUGAGUAAUUGUAGAAGUUUUUCUUUAUUACCUCCCAAAGGGGGGGAAAAAGGCAUCCUGGGACAGUGGGCGCGGCUGUAGCUUAUUUUACAAAUCCUGUGAAUAAGGAAACAAAGGCCCCAGAACAGCGUGGUAGCUAUCACAUGACCAGGACCCCAGGGUCUUUCUCAGUCUGGCUGUAGAACACGGUGUUUGUGCAGAAAUGCUUACUAUUAUUAUAUUUCUGUAUUUACUAAAACACACAUUAUAAAUUAAAUUACAUUGAAAUUUGAGGUAUAAAUUGCAAAUUUUUUUUUUUUUUUUUGGUUUUUCGAGACAGGGUUUCUCUGUGGCUUUGGAGCCUGUCCUGGAACUAGCUCUUGUAGACCAGGCUGGUCUCGAACUCAGAGAUCUGCCUGCCUCUGCCUCCCGAGUGCUGGGUUUAAAGGCGUGCGCCACCACCGCCCGGCUAAAUUGCAAAUAUUUUAAACAAAUUUAUUAUGAAACCUGCUUUUCUUGGUUAUUGGUGCAACUUGUGGUAAAGUUUCAAUCAACAUUCAUUUUAAAGAUAAAUUUUUCCAGGAUUAACAUGAUACAUUGGCCAUUAAUGUUUUUUUCAAAAAUGGCCUGAUGAUGUAGCUUAUGUAUAGAUUGCUUGCCUAGCAUAUACCAGGAUCCUGGGCUUCCUCUCCAUACUCUGGGAAUUGCUGAAAUAAGAAAACAAUUAAUCAAGCAGUAAAAUGAGCUAAAAUUAGUCCUUCCUUCAGUUAAAAUUUAAAAAUGUAUUGUGUAUAAUUGAGAAAAUAUUAAAAUUAUCAAAAAAUACAAAAUUAUAUUUAAAAACUUUUAUAAAGAUUUUAUUUCACAAUGCACAAUUUUUGGAAAACAUUUAAGAAGCACAAUUAUCGUCAGCAAUGUUACAAACUUCUGAUAGCUGCCUGCUCAACGGUGAGACUGGAAACAACCAGCUAGGUCCUCUAGAAGCCUGGGGAAUUUAGUAUUUGGGUGGAAAGAGGUUCAGCUGGUUGGCUAAAGGCUGCCACAGAAGAGGAAGAGACCUGGUCAGUCGUCCUUAUCAACUCAGAUUAUGAUGUCCAAUAUGGACAAGUUCAACAGACACACCUGGGUUAAAGUCCCAGAAUCUGACAGUGCCCCAGUGCCUCCAAGUCCUGAGCACAGGACAGAUGAUGCUUCUCAAAGCCGAAAGGGUGAAGGGGAGCUGACAGAAAUGGACAGGAAAGAACUUCCUCAGGCUGAAAAGAGUUCCCACAAUAGGGACCUGGAAGGUUUUGUUCUUGUUUUUGAGAUGAGUUUUCUCUCCAGACUGUCCUGAAAAUUCCAGACCCAACAACCUCCCCAGGCUUCAGCCUCCUGAGUUUGGCAAGCAGCUUGCUCCUGUGCUUAGUCCUCUGAGAACCAGCCUUGCCAAGGCAACACAAGCUGUUCAUUAAUAGAGCUGGAAACUGAAACGGGGCUCGGAGGCGGCAUUAUGAAAAACAAAGUCUAUGAGAAGAGGCACCUGUGUGAAGAGGACAGCUGCAGCAGAGCUCAGAUGCCAAGAGGCACGAGACACAGACCUGCGUGAAUGUCAGACAGAGCGUGCUCACUUCCAACGACAGCAUUUUAAUCCCAAAGAAAAAUCCAUGCAAUAAAAUAGAUCAUCUAAUAUAUUCAAAUUUAUAUCUUAUUACUAUUCUGUUGGAGCCAUAGGAGCCCCACCCAUAGUUUGUACAGGUCUCAAUAUUAGCGUUCCUGAGCUUUGCUCAUGCACAUCUACAGGGUCUUAGCUAGCUGAGUCAUUUGAUGUAUUCUUACUAGCGGUGAAAGGUUUUCCACCAGGACACAUUAAUGAAUUCUACUCUUUUCUCGGUAUAAGCGAUCACAAUCACAUGAAUAGUUUUUUCCUGUAUUUGUCUCCUUUGUCUCAGUUACAGAAAUACCAGGUGUUGCUCACAACGCCUGUCUGUGCUCUAUGCGCUACCAUACAGUUCCUAAGCUUCGGGCAAGGGGCUGGAGGUUGAAACAUAUAGAGACAGAAAACAGACACGGACCUCUAGUCACUGGUAAGAAGCCCCUUAUUCAAUAGCACCACGGAAGCUUAUAUACCCAACGGUCAGGUGGGCCAACAGGUGAAAACCUUAUCCUCUGAUCCUCAAGGCCAAGGCAACACGUGCUCGUGAAGCAGAGCUGGUAAACAACUUUGACACAGCUUUCAGUAACUCAAAUCAGAAGUAAAUGAAAUUAUUUUUAAAAGAUGCAGUAUAUAAAUAUUUUCAAAGUAUUUAUUUUACUUCAGGUCUUAAGGUGCGUGAUAGUAUGAAUCUGCUUUAAAAGUAAUUCUGAUUACAUGAAGUUUUCUUUUCUUCUACUCCUAAAAUAAAACAUUACAAUAUCUCUGCGAUUCCCAAUAAGACAAAAUGAUGGUUAAUAUUCAUUAUCAAGUUGGCAGACCUUAUUACCAACUAAGAAGCUGGUCCCUGGGUAUCUCUAUAGGAUAUUAUAUUGACUGUAUUAAUUGAAGUGAGAAGACUUUCCCAGUGUGAGCGGCACCAAUUCCCUAGGUAGGGCAUGCUGGACCGGACAGUAGUGGAGAACGUGAGCUGAAGGCCAGCAUGUUCUCUUAAUGCCAACAGCACAAUCUGACCACUUGUUUUUGAGCAAUCACCUGAUGCCUUGAUCUUCCCACCUCUGAGGGUAAAAAUGAAUCCAUUUCCCCUCAAAUUGCUUUAGUCAUUGCAUUUUAAUUUAGCAUCAGAAAAGCAACAACUACAACAAAAAUGGUUAGCUAAUUGCAGUUGCCAAAUACCUUCAUUCAACCCUGGCUUUCUCCCCUGCCUCUGACAAAAGUGACAUCCCAGCACUUUCUUUCCCAGCCACGAUGCAAGCAGUCCUCUAGAGGAACCUGUGGAUUUAGUCAGGGUUUCUAGAGUCAGUGAGUCUGACUAGAAGACGUGUUUGCUUAUAACUUUGAGGAUGCUGAUUUGCAGAGACGGAGCUGCAUACUAAUUGUCAAAUCAAAUAUUCAACACUUUCAAUGAAAUUUCGUCUAUAAUUAUUUUAAAACAUUUGUUUCACAAAUUUGUAGAGGAUAUGAAUUACUUUAACAGUUGGUUAUUUCUGGGAGGCAGUGCUCUGGAAUCUAGCAUUCCUGCAGUGGAUUUUUUAUUUUGUAGUUAUUUUCCUACAGAUGUUUGUCAGAGAAAUUCAAGAAAUUACUUGUUUCCCUAAAGUCUUUUGACUUAAUGCGACCUCUGUUCUUAACGUCAAUCCUCUAGAUUUUUGAAGUAGUUUUCUUUCUAAAAAAAAUUAAGUGGAUGGUGUUUUAACAUAGUCUUCAUUUACUUUUUUUUUUUAUGUUGUCAAAGGACAUUUUCUAGAAGUUCGUUUCUUCCUUCUACCACAUGGGUCCUGGGUAGAGAAUUCAGACGGCUUUCCAUGAUAACAAGUGUAUUUGCUCAGAGGCAUGCCCAUGGCCAUCUGUGUGUACUUUUAACAAGUUGUCAGAUAACUGAUACAAAGAACAACCAAACAGGGUAAACAGACAGUAGCAAUUCUGAGUGUAUGUUGAAUGCAAUGAAAACACCAGAUUUCACUGAGAUAGGAAAACACAGUGGAGGCAAAGAUGUAGCAUAGUGAACAUCUGCAGGAUGAAAUUCAGGAGCAGACACCUCCUGAGGUGAUAGGGGUUCCACGGAAAAGGUACAUCAUGGCAGAAACAUUUCAAUCAAGGCUUAAAAAUUAAGGAAACUUUUAAGGCGCCCUUCUCAUUUUGAACCACACCACAGUGUUGGAAGCUGUGAACCCCCAGAUGCUGAAUUUCUUGUAAACAACUUGUUUUCCCCUGAUCUGAGUGCCUACAGCUGCUCUGAGCACGAGACCCUCGGGAGUUCCUGAUGGCAGGGGAAUGGUUUCUGGUGUGUUUGGCUGGGGGCGUGGCUAUCUCUAUAAAAGCUGCCCCUGGACACACUAAAGGGGGCAUUCUAGCAUCAAGCACAACCUGUCUUUUUGUCUGUCUUUCUUUGUAUGUUUCAAUCUCCAGCCCCUUGCGUGGUUCACGAACUGUAUGGUAGCGCAUAGAGCGCAGAUGGGCAGGGUGCUCUGCACCGCAAUAUCUUAAGGAAAUGGGCUUGCUACUCGGAGCCACGAAAGAAACCCCCAACAAACUCAAGUUUCUUCUUCCUCUAACGCGAGAGACUCCCGUGAAAACUUAAUCUACUUUUCUUGCUUCUUGUGAGAAAGUUAAAACACUCUAUCACCGAUCAAUAAUUAUUAGUGCGUAGCUGUAGUAUUUACUCUGCUGUUGUGGUCCUAAAGUACUGUUAGGAAGUCCUUGAAGGGAAAAACUCCCAAGAGACCUGAAGAAGUCAAGUGAAAUCUUAACUGAUGCAGGAUGGUCCCAAACAGAUUAAGGGGAAACAUCUUAGACCUCCGGUUGGCUUGGGUUUUUAAGGGAAAGAGAAUGCAAUUGUGUUACUUACAGAAGGGCAGAUCAGGUUGUCUGCAGCAAACAUUGUUUAAAGAAGCAGAGAGCUCUCUCUCCUUGUGCUCCUGAUUUGGACCUUGAGAUUUCAGUCUGGUGCUCCAAUGUGUGGGUCUCUGUCUCCUUUCAUCGCCUGAUGAAGGUUAAUAUUCAGGAGGAUGCCUAUAUGUUUUCUUUGGGUUCUCCUUAUUUAGCUUCUCUAAGAACCCGAGUUAUAGGCUCAAUGUCCUUUAUUUAUGGCUAGAAACCAAAUAUGAGUGAGUACAUCCCAUGUUCCUCUUUUUGGGUCUGGCUUACCUCACUCAGGAUAGUGUUUUCUAUUUCCAUCCAGCACGAGCAAGGAACUCAGGACCGCGAGGGGGGCACCCACACACUGAGACAAUGGGGAUGUUCUAUCGGGAACUCACCAAGGCCAGCUGGCCUGGGUCUGAAAAAGCCUGGGUUAAAACUGGUCUCGCUGAACAUAGCGGACAAUGAGGACUACUGAGACCCCAAGAACAAUAGCAAUGGGUUUUUGAUCCUACUGUACCUAUUGGUUUCGUGGGAGCCUAGGCAGUUUGGAUGCUCACCUUACU